rnacentral:lncRNA from 1 species
AAAUUAACAUGGGGAAACUCAUCAUGCCUAUGCAAAUGGACAGGUACUACAAGAUAGGUGAGGAGAUCUGAAGUAACCACAUGAAAAGUGAUAGAUGUUUGACAUAUUCUGGACUAUGAGUAACUGCAAAAGGAGAAGCACUCUGAUGAGCUAAAUCUUUAACUGACAUGGAAGUGAGGAAUGGUUGACAUGUAGUUUACAAGAUGCAGUUGGAUUGUUAACGUGCUUGUGAUGAACACAACACCAAAUUUCCAAACAGAAAAAAUUACACCAAAGAGAACAGAUGGAGCUACAUAGCUUACAUAUAUGCUUCUGGAGCUAUUUGAGAAAAUGAUCCUGCUACUGCAAGUGAAAAAGUUAUCCUGAAUCUUGGCUGAAAUGGGUUACAGAGCAGCAAAAUCAU